UACGUACUGGCAUCGUCGGUUUCUCCCUUCUGACGAACCAUGAUGUCAUUUAUUUGGUGUCGUGGGGAAUCAGGACUGUUACUUUGAAAAAAUUAGAGUGUUUAAAGCAGGCUCACGCUUGAAUACAUUAGCAUGGAAUAAUGAAAUAGGACGUUUGAUUCUAUUUUGUUGGUUUCUAGGAUCGACGUAAUGAUUAAUAGGGAUAGUUGGGGGCAUUAGUAUUCAAUUGUCAGAGGUGAAAUUCUUGGAUUUAUUGAAGACUAACUACUGCGAAAGCAUUUGCCAAGGAUGUUUUCAUUAAUCAAGAACGAAAGUUAGGGGAUCGAAGACGAUCAGAUGCCGUCGUAGUCUUAACCAUAAACUAUGCCGACUAGGGAUCGGAUGAUGUUAAUUUUUUAAUGACUCAUUCGGCGCCUUACG
rnacentral:rRNA from 1 species